ACUCCUUAUACCCCAUCUAAUAAUGUGGCUUUCUUA
rnacentral:tRNA from 1 species